rnacentral:lncRNA from 1 species
CUUUUUCUCCGCGUGUAGCUUCCAAUUUUGUGCGUGUAACUUCUUUUGACGUUGCUGCCUGACACUUGGACCAGCAGGUAAGUUCUUCUUUCCUUAUUUGCAAAUAAAUUAUAUUAAUAUUAUAUUAACUUAUUUCCAUUAAGCUGUCUUCUUAAUUUCCUUCUUCACCCUUCCAUCUUUGAUUCGUUUUAGCUUCAAACUUCUU